UACGAAGGGGGCUAGCGUUGCUCGGAAUUACUGGGUGUAAAGCGCACGUAGGCGGCUUUCUAAGUCGGGGGUGAAAUCCUGGAGCUCAACUCCAGAACUGCCUUCGAUACUGGAGAGCUCGAGUCCGGGAGAGGUGAGUGGAACUGCGAGUGUAGAGGUGAAAUUCGUAGAUAUCCGCAAGAACACCAGUGGCGAAGGCGGCUCACUGGCCCGGUACUGACGCUGAGGUGCGAAAGCGUGGGGAGCAAACAGG
rnacentral:rRNA from 1 species